CAAGUAACCUUUUCGGUUUAUAAUCACGUGAAGGGUCUUCUUCACUUGCAAGAUGGCAUCUUCGAAACGAGGCGAGGUUAGCACUCCAUUGAAAGACAUAACCAACACCACCAGCAAUGGUCUCAACAUUACCACAGUUGGUGGAUCUAUGCAAUCCUGUGUGCAGCCAUCAAUCUUAGAUUCCAGAGAACGUAAGAGACAAAGAGAAAGGGAGCGGUAUGCCCAAAAUAAAGAUGAAUUACUAAAAAAGCGUCGCGAAGCCCGUCAACAAAAGAAAGCAUCAGCAGCCCAAGCUAAUGUUGAGAACCAUCAAACAAAUGAGUCUCCGAUAGGCCAAAUGGGAUCAGGACAAUCUGGGUUGACUGAGCUACAGAACACACCAACCGU